CCUACGGGUGGCAGCAGUGAGGAAUAUUGGUCAAUGGACGAGAGUCUGAACCAGCCAAGUAGCGUGAAGGAUGACUGCCCUAUGGGUUGUAAACUUCUUUUAUAUGGGAAUAAAAUGUUCCACGUGUGGGAUUUUGUAUGUACCAUAUGAAUAAGGAUCGGCUAACUCCGUGCCAGCAGCCGCGGUAAUACGGAGGAUCCGAGGGUUAUCCGGAUUUAUUGGGUUUAAAGGGAGCGUAGGUGGAUUGUUAAGGCAGUUGUGAAAGUUUGCGGCUUAACCGUAAAAUUGCAGUUGAAACUGGCAGUCUUGAGUACAGUAGAGGUGGGCGGAAUUCGUGGUGUAGCGGUGAAAUGCUUAGAUAUCACGAAGAACUCCGAUUGCGAAGGCAGUUCACUGGACUGCAACUGACACUGAGGCUCGAAAGUGUGGGUAUCAAACAGGAUUAGAUACCCCAGUAGUC
rnacentral:rRNA from 1 species